UUAAGCGACUAAGCGUACACGGUGGAUGCCCUGGCAGUCAGAGGCGAUGAAGGACGUGCUAAUCUGCGAUAAGCGUCGGUAAGGUGAUAUGAACCGUUAUAACCGGCGAUUUCCGAAUGGGGAAACCCAGUGUGAUUCGUCACACUAUCAUUAACUGAAUCCAUAGGUUAAUGAGGCGAACCGGGGGAACUGAAACAUCUAAGUACCCCGAGGAAAAGAAAUCAACCGAGAUUCCCCCAGUAGCGGCGAGCGAACGGGGAGCAGCCCAGAGCCUGAAUCAGUGUGUGUGUUAGUGGAAGCGUCUGGAAAGGCGUGCGAUACAGGGUGACAGCCCCGUACACAAAAAUGCACAUGCUGUGAGCUCGAUGAGUAGGGCGGGACACGUGGUAUCCUGUCUGAAUAUGGGGGGACCAUCCUCCAAGGCUAAAUACUCCUGACUGACCGAUAGUGAACCAGUACCGUGAGGGAAAGGCGAAAAGAACCCCGGCGAGGGGAGUGAAAAAGAACCUGAAACCGUGUACGUACAAGCAGUGGGAGCACAGAGCAAUCUGUGUGACUGCGUACCUUUUGUAUAAUGGGUCAGCGACUUAUAUUCUGUAGCAAGGUUAACCGAAUAGGGGAGCCGAAGGGAAACCGAGUCUUAACUGGGCGUUAAGUUGCAGGGUAUAGACCCGAAACCCGGUGAUCUAGCCAUGGGCAGGUUGAAGGUUGGGUAACACUAACUGGAGGACCGAACCGACUAAUGUUGAAAAAUUAGCGGAUGACUUGUGGCUGGGGGUGAAAGGCCAAUCAAACCGGGAGAUAGCUGGUUCUCCCCGAAAGCUAUUUAGGUAGCGCCUCGUGAAUUCAUCUCCGGGGGUAGAGCACUGUUUCGGCAAGGGGGUCAUCCCGACUUACCAACCCGAUGCAAACUGCGAAUACCGGAGAAUGUUAUCACGGGAGACACACGGCGGGUGCUAACGUCCGUCGUGAAGAGGAAACAACCCAGACCGCCAGCUAAGGUCCCAAAGUCAUGGUUAAGUGGGAAACGAUGUGGGAAGGCCCAGACAGCCAGGAUGUUGGCUUAGAAGCAGCCAUCAUUUAAAGAAAGCGUAAUAGCUCACUGGUCGAGUCGGCCUGCGCGGAAGAUGUAACGGGGCUAAACCAUGCACCGAAGCUGCGGCAGCGACGCUUAUGCGUUGUUGGGUAGGGGAGCGUUCUGUAAGCCUGCGAAGGUGUGCUGUGAGGCAUGCUGGAGGUAUCAGAAGUGCGAAUGCUGACAUAAGUAACGAUAAAGCGGGUGAAAAGCCCGCUCGCCGGAAGACCAAGGGUUCCUGUCCAACGUUAAUCGGGGCAGGGUGAGUCGACCCCUAAGGCGAGGCCGAAAGGCGUAGUCGAUGGGAAACAGGUUAAUAUUCCUGUACUUGGUGUUACUGCGAAGGGGGACGGAGAAGGCUAUGUUGGCCGGGCGACGGUUGUCCCGGUUUAAGCGUGUAGGCUGGUUUUCCAGGCAAAUCCGGAAAACUAAGGCUGAGGCGUGAUGACGAGGCACUACGGUGCUGAAGCAACAAAUGCCCUGCUUCCAGGAAAAGCCUCUAAGCAUCAGGUAACAUCAAAUCGUACCCCAAACCGACACAGGUGGUCAGGUAGAGAAUACCAAGGCGCUUGAGAGAACUCGGGUGAAGGAACUAGGCAAAAUGGUGCCGUAACUUCGGGAGAAGGCACGCUGAUAUGUAGGUGAAGCGACUUGCUCGUGGAGCUGAAAUCAGUCGAAGAUACCAGCUGGCUGCAACUGUUUAUUAAAAACACAGCACUGUGCAAACACGAAAGUGGACGUAUACGGUGUGACGCCUGCCCGGUGCCGGAAGGUUAAUUGAUGGGGUCAGCGCAAGCGAAGCUCUUGAUCGAAGCCCCGGUAAACGGCGGCCGUAACUAUAACGGUCCUAAGGUAGCGAAAUUCCUUGUCGGGUAAGUUCCGACCUGCACGAAUGGCGUAAUGAUGGCCAGGCUGUCUCCACCCGAGACUCAGUGAAAUUGAACUCGCUGUGAAGAUGCAGUGUACCCGCGGCAAGACGGAAAGACCCCGUGAACCUUUACUAUAGCUUGACACUGAACAUUGAGCCUUGAUGUGUAGGAUAGGUGGGAGGCUUUGAAGUGUGGACGCCAGUCUGCAUGGAGCCGACCUUGAAAUACCACCCUUUAAUGUUUGAUGUUCUAACGUUGACCCGUGAUCCGGGUUGCGGACAGUGUCUGGUGGGUAGUUUGACUGGGGCGGUCUCCUCCUAAAGAGUAACGGAGGAGCACGAAGGUUGGCUAAUCCUGGUCGGACAUCAGGAGGUUAGUGCAAUGGCAUAAGCCAGCUUGACUGCGAGCGUGACGGCGCGAGCAGGUGCGAAAGCAGGUCAUAGUGAUCCGGUGGUUCUGAAUGGAAGGGCCAUCGCUCAACGGAUAAAAGGUACUCCGGGGAUAACAGGCUGAUACCGCCCAAGAGUUCAUAUCGACGGCGGUGUUUGGCACCUCGAUGUCGGCUCAUCACAUCCUGGGGCUGAAGUAGGUCCCAAGGGUAUGGCUGUUCGCCAUUUAAAGUGGUACGCGAGCUGGGUUUAGAACGUCGUGAGACAGUUCGGUCCCUAUCUGCCGUGGGCGCUGGAGAACUGAGGGGGGCUGCUCCUAGUACGAGAGGACCGGAGUGGACGCAUCACUGGUGUUCGGGUUGUCAUGCCAAUGGCACUGCCCGGUAGCUAAAUGCGGAAGAGAUAAGUGCUGAAAGCAUCUAAGCACGAAACUUGCCCCGAGAUGAGUUCUCCCUGACUCCUUGAGAGUCCUGAAGGAACGUUGAAGACGACGACGUUGAUAGGCCGGGUGUGUAAGCGCAGCGAUGCGUUGAGCUAACCGGUACUAAUGAACCGUGAGGCUUAACCU
rnacentral:rRNA from 1 species